rnacentral:misc_RNA from 1 species
UCUCACUCGAAUUACAGAAUCGACCCGGACGUCAUUUCGGGAUUGCAUUUACGUGUUCUGCGCGUAUCUGCAUUAUUGUUAUUUUCUUUCUUUCUUUAUUUGGCUCUCUUCAGGGGUUGGCUUGUUUUCUUUUUACUGACGGACGUCCGCAUAUUUCUCUGGUUUUUCAACAGUGCAACCGCCGCACGUGGCAGCGUCUCCCCCAUAGAGGCAUGGCUUCGGACUCAAGUGGGAGAACUAAUCAUAGCCCGCGUAGCGUUUCCUCUUCCCUUCACUCUCCUAUCCUUGUCUACAAUCCGCAUGAGCCUGUAAAUUCUAUUCCAAGUACAAUGGAUUCCAAAGCACCGGAAAAUCUAUCCGAUUCUCAAUGCGAUAUUCUCAAUCUGUUUCAGAGUUCGCCCAUGGACAUCGAUGAAAUAAUUAACUCAAGGAAACGUCCCUCUUCUGACCGGGACGUAAGCCAAGAUUCGCCCCUCGUUACCCCACCUCCCCGAAAAAAUCUUCUGAGGUUAUUUCCUCAUCUUCAAAUACACAAGGAUCGCAACAACAACAACAACAGGGCAAAGGCAGUCGGACACAUUGCAAAAGUGUACAAGAGCCAGCCAAAAUGCCUUUAUUGUGGGAGCAAUAGACACAAAGCGGAAGUCGAGAGCUCUUGUUCUGAAGAGGGUGACAAGUGCAUUAACUGCAAAGAUUUAGAUGACUAUGGAGGAGAAUAUUAUAGAUCUUAUGCAGAUGUCAAUUCGAGUUCAAGAUCGUACUGCUUCUGGUAGCUUCAACAGCGGGCUCAACAAGAGCCGUUCUUCUCCUCACGAAGCAACCCCUUCCAGCGCUCCGCCUCCUCGCAGAAACUCCAGUCAGCAACAUUUUGACGCAGGCAGGAUGCUGUCUUCAUCUAUACAGACGGAUCUAAGGAACCGGGCAUCGCAGUAGGAGCCGGCGUCUAUUCAUCGGCUCUGGACUUCGCUAUUGAGCAUAAACUUCCCAGGGAAACUUCUAUCUUUUCGGCGGAACUAUGGACUAUAUUUCAAGCCACGUUUUUCGCCAAGGACUGCGAAAAUAAAAAUAUUAUCAUAUUUUCCGAUUCCAAAAGUGCUCUUGACGCAAUAAAUUACAAUAGAUUACAAUA